GUGGGGAAUAUUGGACAAUGGGCGAAAGCCUGAUCCAGCCAUGCCGCGUGUGUGAAGAAGGUCUUCGGAUUGUAAAGCACUUUAAGUUGGGAGGAAGGGCAGUAAGUUAAUACCUUGCUGUUUUGACGUUACCGACAGAAUAAGCACCGGCUAACUUCGUGCCAGCAGCCGCGGUAAUACGAAGGGUGCAAGCGUUAAUCGGAAUUACUGGGCGUAAAGCGCGCGUAGGUGGUUUUGUAAGUUGGAGGUGAAAUCCCCGGGCUCAACCUGGGAAGAGCCUCCAAAACUGAAUGACUAGAGUACGGUAGAGGGUAGUGGAAUUUCCUGUGUAGCGGUGAAAUGCGUAGAUAUAGGAAGGAACACCAGUGGCGAAGGCGACUACCUGGACUGAUACUGACACUGAGGUGCGAAAGCGUGGGGAGCAAACAGGAUUAGAAACCCUGGUAGUCC
rnacentral:rRNA from 1 species